AUGCGAUUUUUAAGAAUGAUAUGUUCUAUGUUUAUGGGAUAUUUAGUACAAAUGGGAUGAAAAUUAAAGAAAUUGAAGCAUACUGGCACUUUUGCAUGCAUUUUGACAGGCAUGCAAAGAAAUUUGCAACAGAUGCCGGGAGAUACGUUGGGUGGGGGCGACAUUCUGUAAGGUUCCAGCACAACGGGUGGGAAAUUUGUCUGAGCAUGCGCGAGUAAAAUGAGCCACGCAAUUGCAUGGAAUACACGCAACGUGUGCUCUUCCGAUCUCACAAUCGUGUAAAUAUUGCCAAAUGUUUG